rnacentral:rRNA from 1 species
UACGUAGGCAGCAAGCGUUGUUCGGAAUUACUGGGCGUAAAGAGUGUGUAGGCGGUGCUCUAAGUUCGGUGUGAAAUCUCCCGGCUCAACUGGGAGGGUGCGCCGGAAACUGGAGUGCUGGAGCGCGGGAGAGGAAAGCGGAAUUCCUGGUGUAGCGGUGAAAUGCGUAGAUAUCAGGAGGAACACCGGCGGUGUAGACGGCUUUCUGGACCGUAGCUGACGCUGGAGAACACGAAAGCGUGGGUAGCAAACAGG